AUGGACAUGAGCAACCCAAUCUUCAGGGUUGGGCAAGUAUUUGGAGAAAUGAAAGAGCUAAGGGAAGCAGUCACUGCAUACACAGUCAAAAACAGAGUGAAAAUCAUCAAAGCUAGAAAUGAGGCAGAGAGAUUCAUUGGUGUGUGUCAACCUGAUUUCCCUUGGAGGUUGAAAGCAUCUAGAGACAAUAGAAUAGGAAGCAUUGUCAUCAGAGAGUACAAUAGAGAGCACACCUGUCAGAAAACAUGGGAUUCCAAGUGCUUGACAGUAAAGUACCUGACUGAGAUAUUUAUGGAUGAAUUCAGAGACAACAAGAGCAUGGACUUGGGUACAUUUGGAAGAAAAGUUCAGCAGAAGUUCAAGCUUAAUCCAGUGAGAAUGAAGCUUGGCAGGGCCAGGAGUGCUGCACUUAAGAUCAUACAUGGUGAUGAGAAAGCACAAUACAACCAGUUGUGGUACUAUGGACAAGAACUGAGGAGAAGUAAUCCAGGGAGCAAAUUCAUUGUUUGCACAACCAAAGUGAAGGAAAUAGGUGACAUGCUUCCAAAAGAUCACCUAUCUUCACUAUAUUGGUCCUAUGAUGCCUGCAAGAGAGGUUUCCUGAGGGGGUGCAUGCCAAUUCUAUUUGUUGAUGGGUGUCACCUGAAGAGCAAAUGCAAG
rnacentral:rRNA from 1 species